GGGAGCUGCUCUCCCCUCCCUCAGGAAAUGGUACAACCCCACCCGCCCUAUCAGGGCCACUCUCGUGUCUUCCAAACUACAUCUCCCGGGAUGCUCCGGGGCAGACCGCCCUUCCGCUUCCGGUCCCCGCUCUCAGGGAGCGGGGUUGGUUGUUAAAGUGCUAUGACAACGGGCGCGAAGAUGGCCGCUGCGGCUGGCGGAGAGGGGCAGCUGGUGCCGCCUGCAGCCUCCCCUUGAGCAGUGGCUCCCCCUCCUCCACCCCGCGCCCUGUCCCGUCGGCGGGGCUGCGAGUGGGGAGGGCUGAGCCGGCUGGCGCCUGUUGAUUUUCGUCCUCGGGGACCCGCUGAGCCCCGGGGCCGGAGCUUGGGAGGGACCCGCACCUCUCUGCUCGCGCACACCCCUAAUGUAGACGCCUCCUCCGCCGUGGCUGCUGCUCAGUUUCCAGGGCAGGUACUUGGGGGUGCAGAGGCCCCUGCUUGGACGGGUCUGCGUGAAGGAGAAUGUCUUUAUUUAAAGCCCGAGAUUGGUGGUCAGCAGCUCUUGGAGAAAAAGAAGAAUUUGAUCAAGGGUGUUUAUGUGUAGCUGAUGUUGACAACAGCGGCAAUGGACAAGAUAAAAUAAUUGUUGGCAGUUAUAUUGGAUAUCUUCGAAUCUUUAAUCCUCACCCUGUCAAACCUGGAGAUGGAAUGCAAGCUGAAGAUUUGCUCCUGGAAGUGCAACUGCGAGAUUCAAUACUCCAGGUGGAAGUAGGAAAAUUUGUUUCUGGUACUGAACUACUUCAUCUGGCUGUACUGCAUUGCAGAAAACUGUGUGUGUAUGCUGUCUCAGGAACUUUGGGAAAUGUGGAACAUGGGAACCAGUAUCAGAUCAAACUUAUGUAUGAACACAAUCUUCAGAGAACAGCCUGCAACAUGACUUAUGGACCAUUUGGUGGUGUGAAAGGUCGAGAUUUGAUAUGCAUACAGUCCAUGGAUGGCAUGCUUAUGUUGUUUGAACAGGAAAGCUAUGCUUUUGGCCGAUUUCUACCUGGUUUUCUUCUGCCUGGUCCGUUAACUUACAGCUCUCGAACGGAUUCCUUCAUUACAGUCUCUUCCUGUCAACAAGUUGAGAGCUACAAGUACCAAGUGCUGGCAUUUGCAACAGAUGCUGAUGAAAGACAGGAGACAGAGCAGCAAAAACUGAGUUCUGGAAAAAGGCUUGUUAUGGAUUGGGUUUUAAACAUUGGAGAGCAAGCACUGGAUAUAUGCGUUGUUUCCUUUAAUCAGACCUCCUCUGUUUUUGUGCUUGGCGAGAGAAAUUUCUUUUGCCUUAAGGAUAAUGGGCAAAUUCGAUUCAUGAAAAAACUUGAUUGCAGUCCAAGUUGCUUCCUUCCUUAUUGUUCAGUGUCUGAAGGAACAAUAAACACUCUGGUUGGAAACCAUAAUAACAUGUUGCAUGUUUAUCAGGAUGUGACAUUGAAGUGGGCCACUCAGCUUCCCCAUAUUCCUGUAGCCGUAAAAGUGGGCAAUUUACAAGAUUUGAAAGGUGUUAUAGUUACUCUGAGUGACAGUGGGCACCUGCAGUGUUCCUACCUUGGUACCGAUCCUUCUCUGUUCCAGGCUCCUAAGGUUGAAUCUAGGGAAAUAAACUAUGAAGAACUUGACAGAGAAAUGAAAGAGCUUCAGAAAAUCAUCAAGGAGUCCACAAAAACACAAGAUAUUUUGCCCAAAUCUGAAAAAGAUUAUGAUGAUUUGAGAAUCACGGCAGAAGUUUCACCUGACUUGGAUGUAGACUCUCAAGCCAUUGACAGUGAGGUGAGAGCAGAGGCAGUUCCUUCAGUCACAGUAAAGAUCACACUACAGAGCAGAUUGGCUGUGCAGAAAACAAAAUUAUCAAUAUGUGUACAACCUCCUUUAGCACUGACCCAUGACCAGUUCAUCUUUGAUGAUAUAGAGUCAUGUGGAUCUAAAGCUGUAGCCCUGUCUGUCUUUCUGAAGGGGAAUUGUCCACCAGCAGAGCUGGAAGGAGAUGCUGUGGCUUCCUAUAGCACACCCACAGAUCUCAAUCCUGAAGGAAUACCAAGAGUUGCUCAGUGCAAAUUUAGACUACCCUUGCGGUUAAUUUGCUUUCCAGCUCAACCUUCAAAAACAGCAAACCACAAACUAACUAUCGAUACCAAUAAACCUCCUGUCAGUCUUGUGAACCUUUUUCCAGACUUUGCUGAUCAGUCUGAUGAAGAUCAGGUAAAUGUUCUGGGAUUCCAGUUCUUAACUGGUUCUAGAAUCACUCUUCUUGCUUCAAAAACCUCACAGCGGUAUAGAAUCCAGAGUGAACAAUUAGAAGACCUUUGGCUAAUCACAAAAGAGCUCGCUUUUCGUCUUGAAGAACAUUUCAAGAAGCAAAAUAGCAAAGACUUCACAUGUACCUUUUCUGGUUCAGUUCCUUUACAAGAGUAUUUUGAACUAAUUGAUCGCCAUUUUGAGCUUCGCUUGAAUGCUGAAAAAUUUGAAGAACUGUUGUCUGAAAGAGCCAUACAAUUUAGAGCUAUUGAACGACGAUUACUAACUCGAUUCAAAGACAAAACACCUGCUCCCCUCCAACAUCUGGACACCUUGCUAGAAGGAACUUAUCGACAGAUAAUAGCUCUAGCAGAUGCGGCAGAGGAAAACCAAACCAAUAUGUUCCAGGCAUUCACAAAGUUGAAAAGUGCCACCCAGCUGGUGAUUAUGCUGAUUAGUCUGUGGCAGAAGCUCAGCACUGACCAAGUUGCUAUUCUGGAAGCUACGUUUUUGCCAUUAAUGCAGGAUACCCAAGAGCUGGGUUGGGAAGAAAGCGUGGAUGCUGCCAUCUCUCACUUGCUGAGAACAUGUCUGUCCAAGAGCUCUAAAGAACAGGCCCUGACUCUCACCAGUCAGUUGAGUAUACCCAAAGAUACUAGCAGGCUGAAGAAACACAUCACCUUGCUCUGUGAUAGAUUGGCCAAAGGUGGUCGCUUAUGUUUAAGUACAGACACAAAUAUUCAGCAAACGAUGGUCAUGCCAGGUGGUUGUACUCCCAUCCAAGAAUCUGACCUGGAGGAAAGGACAGGUGUACAGGAUUCCACAACAAUGUUUACCAACCACAGGCACCUCACAAAGCAGAAAUCCAAAACUGGUUGAAAAGAUUGAGAAAAGGCAAAAAUACAAGAUUGUCAGUCUUAGAAGUUACGAUUUUCCGCAGGGUGCACUAGAGGAAGCAGAAAAGCCAUGAAAAUCUGAAGAGGAUCCUCAGGAGGAUUUUUCUAUCUGAUGUCAAAAGCAUUUACAAUGCAGCUGUACCAAUCCAUGUUACUCUAUUCUGAAUGGAGCCUUCAGAAGGAGAAUGUCCCACUAAUUGUACAAAAAAGUUUAUUCCCAUCAAAGUGAUUAGAUUUUCUUGCCAACCGUGAGUCUUAGCAUCCAUUCUGUGGAUAAAGCCUAACCACUUAUCCCUAACCACAAACUGUUAUAGCAAAUGUUUGUUAAUCUGCAAUAUCAGCCCGUAAUAAAGAUCCUGUUGACUGAUCAAAGACUAUUUUACACACAGUUAAAAGCAACCUUUGUUUCAUGGUAUGUUUUAUCUGAUUUUUUAGAUAUUCUGUACUCCCUGUCCCUUUGCGGUCACCCGUUACCAUUUUCUCAUAAUGUCACAGUUUGGACAAAAAAUAGCUAUCUCCUUCCCACCUCUGCAAAUCAAUCACAAUUUCCACACAGGUGAAUUCACCACGAGAAGAAAGGCAGAUAAUCCACCAAGGCUUCUCUAACCCCCUCCUCCCUGAUUUAUACUUCUGCUCUCAAGAGAUACAGUGUAAAAUAUGGUUAUGUCAAGGGCAAAAUGUCUCCUUCCCUUUUCCUGUUACAGAAGUCAUGUGAAUAAGGUUUACAUUGUAAUUACCGUAAGCACACUAACACAUGGAUCUUCUUACUGUGCUUUUUACUGACAUAUUAAGUAUGCUGAGACCCGUUAUUCUUAUGAAUCAGUCUGUUCUGGUUAGGGACAAGAUUUUCAGAUGUGACUAGUGAUUAUGAGUGAACCCAAUCUGAGACAGUUCAAAGGGGGUCUGAUUUUCAGAAAGUUUGACCCCUUUGAAAAUCAGGUCCUGUUAAGGUGUCUACAAAUGGGAAACCCUAAAAUAGAGGCACCCAAAAUCGCCUUUGAAAAUCUUGGCCUAGAUUUUUGAAAUGUCAGGCGCAUAAAUGAAUUACUGAGAGUAACAUGGAUGCAGUGUCAAUGUAAAGAUGUAUGGAAGGGUCUGAAAAUAACUGAGACCUGGCUCCAAGUGUAGAAGAUAUGCAGCCAGCAUUUGCUUCCUUUUGGUUUGGCCUCACGGUGGAUCGUACAAAAGUACAAUUUCCAGCCUGAUCAGCAGCAUAUAUGAAAUGAAUUGUUGAUCUCAGCUUAUUUCCUAGUGCACAAGUGUACACAUUGCAAAAGCUGUCAUCAGACUUGGCACCUGUGUUGUUUAGGCUAUGUCUGCACUAUCACUUUUGUCGGCAAAACUUUUGUUGGUCAGGGAGUGUUUUUUCAAGCCCCCGACUGACAUAAGUUUCACUGACAAAAGGGCUGGUGUGGACAGCGCUACUUUGGUGGGAGAGCAUCUCCUGCUGAUGUAGCUAGCGCCACUCGCUGGGGGUGGUUUAAUUAUGCUGGCUGGAGAGCUCUUUCCAGCCAGCAUAGAGCGGCUACACAGGAGACCUUACAGCAGCACAGCUGUGCCACUGUAAAGUCCAUAGUGUAGCCAAAGCCUAAGUCAGCAUAGAGAUUCACUGUUCUAACUUCUCACCCAUACAAGAGAUUCCCUCAGCUCAGUUGUGAAAUCUGCUGGCAGGGGUUGACAAUUGCAAAUUUAUAUUACUACUAUUUGCCCCGUAUCUGUGGAUAAAGAGGGAAGUUUAUUCUCCAGGACUUCCAGUCCAGUAACUUUCAUAAGCACAAAAUCUACUUUCAACCCCCUUCCCCCUCCCCCUCUCCAAAAAUCAUUUCCUCCUUCCUGUACCAAUUGUGCAUUGUCCAUUAGCCUCCCAUGCAGUUCCAUGGUGCUGCUCCAUCAGGAGUAUCAAUAAUGUUUAUAUCACUGCAAUUGUACAGGGUUGUCUUUUUUAGCCGACUUUUUAAAUGGAGCCAAGCAGCCAGGGACCAGGUGGCCCUGGAGCUGGAGUGAAGCUGCAGGGCUUCCAUCCAGAUGGCCCUGUACCCUGGCAGCUGUCAGGGAGCUGCAGCUCAUGGGGGCCAAAAACCUCCCUGGGGGAGAAACUCCACCUCUCUGGCAUGGAAAGAUUCCCCCUCCAGGAGUGUUCUUCCCUCUCUGUCCCUCCCACAUGUUUUUCCCCAGGAGAGCAGUAUGUGACCCAUUGUAAGGAGACUCCACUGCUCUGCUCAAAUUGCCCAAUAAAAUAAUCUCCUGUAGUCUCCAUACGCACCUCUGUGACCGAAGAAAAUCCAUGGGGAACUGAUCAAUUACUUUAGCUAUUAGGCUUAAACUUUAACCACAGAUUUCAAAUCUUCUUCUGUGCUCUCAGUGGCUGCUAGGUAACCUAGAGAAAUCAACUGCAAUUACUAUUAAAAAUCCCUUCACUGUUCUGUAGAAGUGCCAUUACACUGUAGAAUCCUGCCAAAGAAUCCUGUACUAUUAUAUACAUAUAUACCAUAUGUGGGAAAGAAAACCAUAGGGCUUUAGUGGGAUAUAUUACAAGGUAAUAAUUAUCAUUAUUAGAUCUGAUCCAGUCACCCAAAACUGCCAUUGACUUCAUUGGGAGUUUGGGGUAAGCAGUGAGUAGAGGUUCGGGUGAGGUAUGGGAAAUGCUUCUUUUUAUAUUGCAUUUAUUUGACAUCAGUGAAACAUGUUUGUGUUGGUAUUGCUUCUGUUUGCCUAUUUUACUCCUCGCUGUGGGAGGGGAAGGUUCUGUAGAGAGUCAACCCAUAACACUGUUGAAGGGGGAAAAUCAUAUUGGUUAUAAAAGAAAGAAAGAGAAAAUUGUGCAUAGUAGUAUUUUAUGGGCUCUUUAUAAUAUGUUAAAUUAUGCCAUUCAAUAGUAUCAUCGGGAUUUAAAGCAGAGAUAUUUGCACUGGGUACAAAAACCAUUUGUUUUUCCCAUGGCCAAAUGAUCCAGGUAAUUCAGAGGAAAUAAGUCACUGCAAUUUAGUGGUUUAAAGAACAGUGCAACAGGAAAUAGUAGGAAGAAGCUCUCAGUAGUGCUGAGACUUUCUAUGAAUUUUUUUCUUUUAAAUCUGAUCUUUGUGGCUGGGGGAAAAAUCAAGGCGAAAUUACAAGAUACUUUUUUAAAAAAAAAGUUAUCCAAGCCAAAAAUACGAAGGAAGCACUACUAAUUUCAGGGGACCAAAUGUUCAGUUCUCAACAUCAAUGUUUCUGAGGCAAGGAAAGAUCUUACUGGCCAUGUCAUUCUAUAAUGCACAGAACUUUGCACCAAUACCCUGUCAGGUCUCUUGCUAAUAAGUAGACCACAUUAUUUCAAAAUGAGGUUGGGAUGUAAAUACAAUUUUCUUAUGUAGAAUCCUAGUUAUUUAUACUAUAAAAUGAAUACUCCUAGACAACUUCUUAUUUUCAUUCAACCAAACUUUAAUAUGCAGUGUGUCUAUGCUUCAUCAAGUUAUUUGAAGAGAAUGUUAUAUUUUGUGUGGUUGUUAGAGCAAAACAAAGUUUAAGCAAUCAUUUUGUUAAAAUCAAUUUUAGACAAAUCUAAAUGCUGAAUUAGUGAGUGCAUUGUGACAUUUUAAUACCAUCCUAUCAGCGGUACCAACUAUUUUUAUUGUUAAUAGCUAUGGCACUUUUAAAUGUGUUUUCUAAAAUAAAUCAUAAUAUGAAAUGAAAUAUACAUUAGAUUUUCUUUGAACAGUUGCACGUUUUGUAAAAUUUAUUUGCUGAACAAUAUUUGUCCAAGGACUUUUACUUUUUUUUUUUUUUGCCCUUGCAUUUUUAGAACAACACACUAAUAGGAUUAUUCAUCUAAUGACCAAAAUCCAGUUGAGUUUCUGAAAACUUGGGCUCAGUUUAUCUUUUGGGGUUUGAAUACAAUCCUGAAUUCAAACCAACAGACCCUUGUGGUUUGCGUGUUCCCGCAUUGAUUCUUCUGUCCAAAUAGUAUUCAGCUAAGACAAAGAAUAACAAAAUUUCUAUUUUUCAAGGAACUGAAUUUCACUUUAAUAAUAGUAUGUGUUUUCUCCUCUUCAACAUUUACUAUACAGACUGUAUUAGUGGUUUAUCUGAAUGUUCUUAUACUUGUUCUUGUACUACAUAUGAAAAGUAAUUUACUGCCAUGAACUAAGGAAUGCUGAGCAGAGAUUGUAAUUUCCAUGUGAAAUCCUUUCAGUAGAAAAAAAAAUUACAGUCUAUGCAUCAUGCUUAAUAAAUAUCUUUCCUUAUCAAAA